UAGGGAAUCUUCGGCAAUGGACGAAAGUCUGACCGAGCAACGCCGCGUGAGUGAAGAAGGUUUUCGGAUCGUAAAACUCUGUUGUUAGAGAAGAACAAGGACGUUAGUAACUGAACGUCCCCUGACGGUAUCUAACCAGAAAGCCACGGCUAACUACGUGCCAGCAGCCGCGGUAAUACGUAGGUGGCAAGCGUUGUCCGGAUUUAUUGGGCGUAAAGCGAGCGCAGGCGGUUUCUUAAGUCUGAUGUGAAAGCCCCCGGCUCAACCGGGGAGGGUGAUUGGAAACUGGGAGACUUGAGUGCAGAAGAGGAGAGUGGAAUUCCAUGUGUAGCGGUGAGAUGCGUAGAUAUGUGGAGGAACACCAGUGGCGAAGGCGGCUCUCUGGUCUGUAACUGACGCUGAGGCUCGAAAGCGUGGGGAGAAAACAGG
rnacentral:rRNA from 1 species